rnacentral:rRNA from 1 species
AGCGAACGCUGGCGGCAGGCUUAACACAUGCAAGUCGAGCGGGCAUCUUCGGAUGUCAGCGGCAGACGGGUGAGUAACACGUGGGAACGUACCCUUCGGUUCGGAACAACUCUGGGAAACUGGAGCUAAUACCGGAUACGCCCUUAUGGGGAAAGGUUUACUGCCGAAGGAUCGGCCCGCGUCUGAUUAGCUAGUUGGUGGGGUAACGGCCUACCAAGGCGACGAUCAAUAGCUGGUCUGAGAGGAUGAUCAGCCACACUGGGACUGAGACACGGCCCAGACUCCUACGGGAGGCAGCAGUGGGGAAUAUUGGACAAUGGGCGCAAGCCUGAUCCAGCCAUGCCGCGUGAGUGAUGAAGGCCUUAGGGUUGUAAAGCUCUUUUGUCCGGGACGAUAAUGACGGUACCGGAAGAAUAAGCCCCGGCUAACUUCGUG